rnacentral:misc_RNA from 1 species
AAAGUCGUAACAAGGUCUCCGUUGGUGAACCAGCGGAGGGAUCAUUACAGAGUUACAGCACUCUCCAAACCAUUGUGAACCAUACCUUCUAUCGUUGCUUCGGCGGGAGGCGCCCCCCCGUGCCCCUGCGGCCGCGGGGCGCCCAACGGCCCUGCUGGGCGCCCGCCGGAGAAAUACCCUAAACCCUUUGACAGCACAUGGCCUCUCUGAGUUUUCUGUUUUAAAUAAGUCAAAACUUUCAACAACGGAUCUCUUGGUUCUG